UAUGGCAUAUGAUGAUAUUACCACAGUAGAUAUUGAAUAAUUCUGUUGAUUAUUUACUCCGCUUAUUAUCUAAUGCCAUA
rnacentral:snoRNA from 1 species